GCCCGGGAGCCUUUUUCUUUGAGUAUCGUUUCUACUCUAUCUCGGCAGCUUGCUGCCGGAAAAUGAGAGUCUUGUUUGAAAGAAUAAGUCUCUUUAAAUGCAGUGAGUUUGAACUCCUAGUAUUAAGAACUACCUUAACUGGUACUCGCCUAUUAUCUUAGGUUUAUUAUUACUAGUGAUAUGGAUAAUUUAUUAUUUUAUAUCAUUGGUGUGAUGAAUCCGAGGUAGUAUGGUCAAGAUACACCUGGUCUUCAGACUUGUUAGAAAAUAACUAAUUUUUUGAAUUAGAUCUCAAAUGAAGUAAGACUACCCGCUGAACUUAAGCAUAUUAUUAAGCGGAGGAAAAGAAACUAACUAGGAUGCCCUCAGUAACGGCGAGUGAAGCGGGCAAAGCUCAACCUGAAAAUCUGGUUUCCAAACGGGAAUCCGAAUUGUGGGCUACAGACGCGUGAUCAGUGUGUGACCCGGGUAUAAGUGUUGUUGGAAAACGCUAUCAUAGAGGGUGAUAAUCCCGUCCGUGACCUGGAGUUCGCCGCGUACGAUCCGUGCU
rnacentral:rRNA from 1 species